rnacentral:piRNA from 1 species
GGGGAUACAAUAUCCUCUUCUGGAUUCUGU